UGGCCCAGAUCGUUUACCGUGAAAAAAUUAGAGUGUUCAAAGCAGGCAGAUCCAAUUUUCUGCCACCGAAUACAUUAGCAUGGGAUAAUGGAAUAGGACCCUGUCCUCCUAUUUUCAGUUGGUUUUGGCAGCGCGAGGACUAGGGUAAUGAUUAAUAGGGAUAGUUGGGGGCAUUAAUAUUUAAUUGUCAGAGGUGAAAUUCUUGGAUUUAUGAAAGAUUAACUUCUGCGAAAGCAUCUGCCAAGGAUGUUUUCAUUAAUCAAGAACGAAAGUUAGGGGAUCGAAGACGAUCAGAUACCGUCGUAGUCUUAACCAUAAACGAUGCCGACCAGCGAUUAGGAGACGUUGAAUACAAAACACCACCAUCGGUGCGGUCGUCCUUGGCGUCUCGGUUUCGGCCGGGGUGCGGGGACGGCUUAGCCCGGUGGCACCGGUGAAUGACUCCCCUAGCAGCUUGUGAGAA
rnacentral:rRNA from 2 species